rnacentral:rRNA from 1 species
UAGGGAGGAAAAGAAACCAACUGGGAUUACCUUAGUAACGGCGAGUGAAGCGGUAAAAGCUCAAAUUUGAAAUCUGGUACUUUCAGUGCCCGAGUUGUAAUUUGUAGAAUUUGUCUUUGAUUAGGUCCUUGUCUAUGUUCCUUGGAACAGGACGUCAUAGAGGGUGAGAAUCCCGUUUGGCGAGGAUACCUUUUCUCUGUAAGACUUUUUCGAAGAGUCGAGUUGUUUGGGAAUGCAGCUCAAAGUGGGUGGUAAAUUCCAUCUAAAGCUAAAUAUUGGCGAGAGACCGAUAGCGAACAAGUACAGUGAUGGAAAGAUGAAAAGAACUUUGAAAAGAGAGUGAAAAAGUACGUGAAAUUGUUGAAAGGGAAGGGCAUUUGAUCAGACAUGGUGUUUUUUUAAUGUGCAAGUCUCUCGUGGACAUGUGCCUCUGGAAAUUAACACUGGGCCAACAUCAGUUCUGGCGGCAGGAUAAAUCAUUAAGAAUGUAGCUACCUCGGUAGUGUUAUAGCUUUUUGGAAUACUGCCAGCUGGGAUUGAGGACUGCGCUUCGGCAAGGAUGUUGGCAUAAUGGUUAAAUGCCGCCCGUCUU